AUACGGAGGGUGCAAGCGUUAUCCGGAUUCAUUGGGUUUAAAGGGUUCGCAGGCGGCGUAUUAAGUCAGUGGUGAAAUCCAGAGGCUCAACCUCGGAACUGCCAUUGAUACUGGUAUGCUAGAGUAUAGUUGGCGUUGGCGGAAUGUAUCAUGUAGCGGUGAAAUGCUUAGAUAUGAUACAGAACACCGAUCGCGAAGGCAGCUAACGAAACUAUAACUGACGCUCAGGAACGAAAGCGUGGGGAGCGAACAGGAUUAGAAACCCCAGUAGUCC
rnacentral:rRNA from 1 species